rnacentral:rRNA from 1 species
UACGAAGGGGGCAAGCGUUGUUCGGAAUUACUGGGCGUAAAGGGCGCGUAGGCGGCUUAUCAAGUCAGGCGUGAAAUUCCCGGGCUCAACCUGGGGGCUGCGCUUGAUACUAAUGAGCUUGAAUGCGGGAGAGGAUAGUGGAAUUCCCAGUGUAGAGGUGAAAUUCGUAGAUAUUGGGAAGAACACCGAUGGCGAAGGCAGCCUCCUGGGCCAGCACUGACGCUCAUGCACGAAAGCGUGGGGAGCAAACAGG